UACGUAGGGUCCGAGCGUUGUCCGGAAUCAUUGGGCGUAAAGAGCGUGUAGGCGGUCCGGUAAGUCCGCUGUGAAAGUCGGGGGCUCAACCCUCGAAUGCCGGUGGAUACUGUCGGGCUAGAGUGCGGAAGAGGCGAGUGGAAUUCCUGGUGUAGCGGUGGAAUGCGCAGAUAUCAGGAGGAACACCAACGGCGAAGGCAGCUCGCUGGGACGGUACUGACGCUAAGGAGCGAAAGCGUGGGGAGCAAACAGGG
rnacentral:rRNA from 1 species